CAAUAGCGUAUAUUAAAGUUGUUGCGGUUAAAAAGCUCGUAGUUGGAUUUCUGCUGAGGAUGACCGGUCCGCCCUGUGGGUGUGCAUCUGGCUCAGCCUUGGCAUCUUCCUGAAGAACGUAGCUGCACUUGACUGUGUGGUGCGGUAUUUAGGACAUUUACUUUGAGGAAAUUAGAGUGUUUCAAGCAAGCGCACGCUUUGAAUACAUUAGCAUGGAAUAAUAAGAUAGGACCUUGGUUCUAUUUUGUUGGUUUCUAGAGCUGAGGUAAUGAUUGAUAGGGAUAGUUGGGGGCAUUCGUAUUUAACCGUCAGAGGUGAAAUUCUUGGAUUUGUUAAAGACGGACUACUGCGAAAGCAUUUGCCAAGGAUGUUUUCAUUGA
rnacentral:rRNA from 1 species